rnacentral:rRNA from 1 species
GGUAAAUUCGUGCCAGCAGGCGCGGUAAGACGAAGGAUGCAAUCGUUAUCCGGAUUCAUUGGGUUUAAAGGGAGCGUAGGCGGACUUAGAAGUCAGUGGUGAAAUCUCGCAGCUUAACUGCGAAACUGCCAUUGAUACUGUAGGUCUUGAGUACAGUUGCCGUUGGCGGAAUAUGACAUGUAGUGGUGAAAUACUUAGAUAUGUCAUAGAACACCGAUUGCGAAGGCAGCUAACGAAGCUGUAACUGACGCUGAGGCUCGAAAGUGCGGGGAUCAAACAGGAUUAGAUACCCUGGUAGUC